GCGAGAGCGUGGACGAGAGAACAACACACUGGUAGUAGGAUUCGCUACAGUAACGCUGGUUGUGGAAUGUAAUAAAAUGACGGAGAAGAGAAAAACGGACAUAAGAUCCUUUUUCAGUACACCAAAACGCAAAAUGGGAUGGACAUUUUGACUUACCCUGUGAUGUCACAAUUAGGAGCAUUCAAUCAGCUACUUGUGGAUUUGUAGGCUCCUAUUGCUCCUAUGAGGACAGAGGGAACAGCCAUGACCAGGCAGCCUGCAGCAGCAAUGAAGGAUAGAACCUGGGCGUAG